rnacentral:rRNA from 1 species
UACAGAGGGUGCGAGCGUUAAUCGGAUUUACUGGGCGUAAAGGGCGCGUAGGCGGUUAUGUGAGUGUGAUGUGAAAGCCCCGGGCUUAACCUGGGAAGUGCAUCGCAAACGUCAUAACUGGAGUAGGUGAGAGGGUGGCGGAAUUUCCGGUGUAGCGGUGAAAUGCGUAGAGAUCAGGAGGAACACCCGUGGCGAAGGCGGCUCCCUGGUCCGUCCCUGACGCUGAGACGCGAAAGCGCGGGGAGCGAACGGG